rnacentral:lncRNA from 1 species
AAGUCUAGAAUACGUAUACGUAGGAACGUAACGCAUUCACAGACCCUCAAUGGUUUUAAAAAAUUAAUGUAAAUGCAGAGAAAUGUCUAGAAGGGUUUUUAGGCUGUAUGGUAUAGUCUAAAAUGUUGAUGUUAGUAAUAAACAAAGCAAUGUCAAUCAACUAACAUAUAUACCAGGAUUUUAAUUGUAUAUUUGCACCAGACGCGCGUUUCGUCUACAAAAGACUCAUCAGUGAAAAAUGUUAAAAAG